AGAUAGGGAAGAAGGUAGAUAGAACCAGACCUUGCAGAUCUGUCCUGCUGCAGCCUUUCCUAUAGAUCUGUUGAUGGAGAUCUCACCCGUGCCUCAAACGAUCUCAGAUCAACUCCAGAUCUGAGAGGAACUUGUACCAACCUCUUCUCAAUAGAUUUCAGAUCCUGGACUAAUGUUUGGAUGGCUGCAAGAGAGGGAGAGAGAAAAGUGGUUGGCGGCACAAAGGGGGAGCCUAGCGCCUCCCCUUGCUUUUCCUGCCUUUUUGGGACCUGGCGGCAAGAAACCCUAGGAUUUCUUGCUCCUGGGGCAUGGAGAAUAGCUGGAGAGAGAGAGAGGGAGAA
rnacentral:lncRNA from 1 species